CCUACGGGUGGCAGCAGUGAGGAAUAUUGGUCAAUGGGCUUACGCCUGAACCAGCCAAGUCGCGUGAGGGAAGACUGCCCUAUGGGUUGUAAACCUCUUUUGUCAGGGAGCAAUUGGCGCUACGUGUAGCGUUAUCGAGAGUACCUGAAGAAAAAGCAUCGGCUAACUCCGUGCCAGCAGCCGCGGUAAUACGGAGGUCCGGGCGUUAUCCGGAUUUAUUGGGUUUAAAGGGAGCGUGGGCCGCAUGUCACGCGUGCUGUGAAAUGUCCGGGCUCAACCCGGGCCUUGCAGCGCGAACUGGCGUGCGUGAGUCCGCGGAAAGCAGGCGGAAUUCGUCGUGUAGCGGUGAAAUGCUUAGAUAUGACGAAGAACCCCGAUUGCGAAGGCAGCUUGCUGCAGCGGAACUGACGCUGAUGCUCGAAAGCGCGGGUAUCGAACAGGAUUAGAUACCCGAGUAGUC
rnacentral:rRNA from 1 species